CCCCAACACAGAAUUGCCUCGACCUCUCCGCUUCGUCUUCUUCCAAAGCGACGGAAGCAAACCGCCAUUGCAUCACUUCUGAUUCUCCUUCGCCUCCACAUCUAAGUCUCAUAAAGUUCAUGUAUUUAUCGUAACCCAAACGACAUGAAUCUUUUCCCCUCCCCUCCUAUCCCAUCAUCUCCACACUUAUAUAUAUCUCCCUUCUUCCUGGCUUCUCAUUCUCACCCUAUUCAGGCAAACGAAAUUUUCAGACAAAAACGAUGACCGAAUGAAGAAAUUAACCGGCUCUGUUCUAAAAUGAUAUCGCUCAUGUCCAGAGAUACACUCAGAGCUACUACAGUUUCAGUUAAUCAAUUUCUGGGAAGCGAGGAACACAACGAAAGGUUUGCCCACAGCUGUUGGAGUACUUUAGAUAUGUAAGAUCGAGACUUUUGCUUUUCAAUGAUUGUGGUGAGUCUGGUGGCCGAGCCGCACAAUUGCUAUAUGUAAAAUCAGUUCUUCCUUACAGUAUGAUGCUCACCAACAAGUUAUAAUCAUCAACACUCAUUUGCUCUGUCCUCAUGAUUCAACAUUGUCUAUGGUAAGAGAUUGCAGCAUGUACAAUGUUUCACUCUUAUUCACUAUCACUGCUGAUGAUUUGCAUCUUUCUGAACAAGACUGUUUUUGACAGGUUUAUAAGAUUCUCCAGUAGAACGAUGAAAACAUUUCCAAGUUUGAUGCUUUUGUUCUGUUUGUAUCGUAAAAGCUGUUUCUUUCUUUCACAUGAUGGCUUAUUUACUUAAAAGUUAUUUGUUUGUGUAGCUAAUGAGGGCUCCUUGAUGGUGUUAUAGUCUACUGAAAUCUCAGUUGAUUAUAUUAGUUUCUUUGAAGAUUGCAGGAUGCCUUCAUGAAACCGAUCUAGAUGCUGCCACUAAAGGGAACCGAUACAUCCACUCUUGCCUCAGAGGAAGACAAGCGUUAGGAUCACAAGCCAAAGAUCCAAAUCUGAGUCAAUACUAUGUCAGAGAUCCAACCAGAUUCAGACAAGGCCAGCCAUAGUUUGGUUCUUGGCUCAUGCUUGGAGGCAGCGCACAGGGGAACAACGAAAAUAAUUCUUUAACUGGACACUAGACAACAUUCAAGAUUUUUUUCGACAAAGAGGAAUGUGUAGAGUAAGUGAGCAAAUAUUAAAUAUGCCGAAGAGAUUUUCAAUGCAACCAACAUGAAGGAUGUUGUGGUUUACAAUGCAAUGGUUGAGGUUGUAAGCCGAUCAGUUGAAACUAUAUUUUGUGUGGUGAAUAAGAGAAUAAAAGGAAAUAUUUACAAAACUGAUGAUUAAUAAACAUUUUGUAUUAUUCAGUUCAAAUACAGCGAGCUCAAAUAUAUAUGGUUCUGUGAAACCAACAAGUUAUUAAAAUGUUUGAUGAUUUGUGUGUUUGUGUUCCUGUUUUGUUGGUGCGUUUGUAGAGGUUCCUUUGUCGGUAACUAAGUGAACACAAAGUCACCCUUCAAGAACUUAUCCAUGGAUCUUGAACUCAUUCAUUGAAAAUUGGCAUUCAUGGCAAGAAUACAUGAUUCCAUACUCCAAGCAACGUGUCUGAUAAUAGAAACACCGUCGACACCCACAAUCUGAAAUCAAUCGUUGAAUGCAUAAGCAUCCUCAGUCCGUGAAUAAGUCACUCCUGUUUUUAUAAUCCCAGAAAAACAUGAGAUUUUGUUUUGAGUUCUCAGUUUACAGUAACAAAUUGUGAUGUUUUAUUUACCUAAACCGGCUUUUGGAAAUCAAUAAAAGAGCUAAUCUAUUCGCAAAUGUCUUCAUAUAAAAUAUAAUUGUUAUAAAUAUAUUUAUAAUCAAUGAGAUCUUUUUAGUCUACAAUAAUUUAAAUUUUCAAAUCAUAAUGACAAAAUCAACAUAAUGUUUAAACAGAGAAUACAAUUAAUAAAUUUGGUUAUACUAAUAUUAUUAUAUUUUAAUCAGCCAAUAAAGAAGAGUUAUUCUGCCAUGUUCCUACUGCUUCGUAGAUCAAAGAAAACAAAUGGGCCUUUCUUUUUUAUCCCAUUGAAACCCAUAUCCUGAUCCUGAAUUGAUCUCAACUAAAACUCUAUCGUUCAUCGCCAAACACUCUUCAUCUUCCUCGCUCCUAUCUGCGUAACCCAUCCGUUGCAGCCUGUUCCGAUUCUCCCUAACUUCGGCAUCCAACUUUAUAACGUCAUAAAGUCUCAUUAGUCUCAUUAGUGACAGAAGAAAUCAAUAACCAAGGUGAUCUUACAAUCAACAACCGAAGAGAUUUUACCACUAUAUGAAGAACUUGAGGAGGAAACAGAGGCCAAUGAAACUGAAGAACAAUGGUCACUUGCUAGGAAGGUGAUUAGAUAUUUGAUAACUGUAAAUUUAUGGUCAGUUGUGAUAAACUGUCUGGGAUCAGACAUGUGCGGUGCGGGAGAGGAAUUGUAAUUUGUAAAUAAGUUGCAGGAAUUUCAGAGGGAGAAACACUCAUAUUUGCUUAACUUAUUUGUUAGUUUUUAUUAAAAUAAGAGUUUUUAGAGACUUACAAAUCUUAUGUUGGAAAAACUAUUGCACCUAUCAUAUUAAUGAUUAUAUAAGGCACUAUUUUAGGUUUCGUCUUUCUUUAUUUAUGUGAAGUUACAUUGGUAUACCUUAAAUUAUCUACAUCUUUUAUUCGCUUUUACUUGCAGCUGAGAUUUAGGUAAAGAUUUCGAAAGAGAUGACAGAUUGGAUUUAGAUGACAGACUAUUGUCCUGAAUUAAAGCAGCCAACUGUUUUUUAAUCGGUUUAGUGAUGAGUUAAAAGCAUUUUAUAAAGCCAUUGAUAAAACACUACACUUGCAUGGUUAACGUGUUGGAUGAAGUAUAUCUAUUGGAGAAAGCCAGAACAAUGAUAAAGCAGAUAUAUAACAGUGGAAGAAGCCACUAUUAUAUGGAGCUCUUUUCUUUCUACGUGCAGGAAACCUGGUGAUGUUGAGAUGGCUGAAGGAGUAGUAAAAUGUUUGAUGAAGCGGAUCUAGAUGAAACGUGUGCUUAUGUGCACAUUAUCUAAUGCACAUAAGAACCGGAAUUUCCAGUAGUGAGCAUGAAUGUCGAUUAAAAGACAUAAAUUGUCAAUCAUUUUUGAAAUAUCAACAACAUUAUUUUGAUUUUCUUAAGGAAAACAUACAAAUAGCUAUUAGAGAAUAUUAUUAUAUUUUAAUUUUUUAUA